GAGGGGCGCUGGGUGGACGUUCAGUGCUGGGGGCGAGGUAGAGGUAGCGGAGGGGCGGGCCGACGGGCCGACGUGAGGGAGGGGACACGGCUGAGGACCGGGCGAAGGCAGACCGAUACUCCGGAGAAGGGACGGUCGCUGUUGGGAGCAAAAGAUGAAGUUAACCAAGUGUGCCUGCCAUCUAUUGUUCUGAAGCAAAUCACAAGAUGCCCUGUUCAUACUGUGACAGAAGACAAAAUUUAGACAUUUCAGGAAGGGAAAAGAACUUUUUUCAUUUGCAAGAUUCCUGGGAGAACUCUCUCUCUGACCAGAAAUUAUACAUACUUGCUGAUUAAUGUCCUGCCCAGUGAAUCUGCCUUGGGAAAGAGUUGUGAUUGGUUGUUACCAGCUUCCAUCAUUUCUGCCCCCUCUCUGGGAAAAAUCAUGGGAAAAGAUGGACAUCCCCCCCUCUCUGAAGCAGUCAUCUUGUUGUACCCGUAGAUCUUCACUGUGGGUUGGGGCACAUCCUUCAUUGCCCUGGAGUCCAAGUGCUUAAAAUAAAAAAAUUCUUGGUUUUGUGUGACA